ACUUUCCUACGGGGGGCAGCAGUGGGGAAUAUUGCACAAUGGGGGAAACCCUGAUGCAGCAACGCCGCGUGAGUGAUGACGGCCUUCGGGUUGUAAAGCUCUGUCUUCAGGGACGAUAAUGACGGCACCUGAGGAGGAAGCCACGGCUAACUACGUGCCAGCAGCCGCGGUGAUACGUAGGUGGCGAGCGUUGUCCGGAUUUACUGGGCGUAAAGGGAGCGUAGGCGGACUUUUAAGUGAGAUGUGAAAUACUCGGGCUCAACUUGAGUGCAGCAUUUCAAACUGGAAGUCUAGAGUGCAGGAGG
rnacentral:rRNA from 1 species